GUGAGGAAUAUUGGUCAAUGGGCGCAAGCCUGAACCAGCCAUCCCGCGUGCAGGAAGACGGCGCUAUGCGUUGUAAACUGCUUUUCCAGGGAGAGAAACUUGCGCACGUGUUGCGCAAUUGACGGUACCCUGGGAAUAAGCAUCGGCUAACUCCGUGCCAGCAGCCGCGGUAAUACGGAGGAUGCGAGCGUUAUCCGGAUUCAUUGGGUUUAAAGGGUGCGUAGGCGGACUAUUAAGUCAGUGGUGAAAUCCUGCAGCUUAACUGCAGAACUGCCAUUGAUACUGAUAGCCUUGAGUUUGGUUAAGGUAGGCGGAAUGUGUAAUGUAGCGGUGAAAUGCUUAGAUAUUACACAGAACACCAAUUGCGUAGGCAGCUUACUGAGCCGACACUGACGCUGAGGCACGAAAGCGUGGGGAUCGAACAGGAUUAGAAACCCCUGUAGUCC
rnacentral:rRNA from 1 species